rnacentral:rRNA from 1 species
CGAUGCAACGCGAAAACCUUUACCUACCCUUGACAUGUCCGGAAUCCCGAAGAGAUUUGGGAGUGCUCGCAAGAGAACCGGAACACAGGUGCUGCAUGGCUGUCGUCAGCUCGUGUCGUGAGAUGUUGGGUUAAGUCCCGCAACGAGCGCAACCCUUGUCAUUAGCUGCCAUCAUUUGGUUGGGCACUCUAAUGAGACUGCCGGUGACAAACCGGAGGAAGGUGGGGAUGACGUCAAGUCCUCAUGGCCCUUAUGGGUAGGGCUUCACACGUCAUACAAUGGUCGGUACAGAGGGUUGCCAACCCGCGAGGGGGAGCUAAUCCCACAAAGCCGAUCGUAGUCCGGAUCGCAGUCUGCAACUCGACUGCGUGAAGUCGGAAUCGCUAGUAAUCGUGGAUCAGCAUGUCACGGUGAAUACGUUCCCGGGUCUU